CGAUUCGCGUGGGGGUGCUCAUGGGAUUCCAGGAUCCGCAUUGUUGCUUAAGUGAGGUACACUCUGGGCUCAUGUUCGCCAGGCGGUGCCAGUUCGCCGAUAUCUGAUUGACGGCAGGAGUCAUAAGGUGGUUGAGUUCGGGUAACCAGCUUUAAACAUCAUUUGCUACUUUUCUUUGGAUGCAUGCGUUAACAUACAACUGCCCCUCUCUCUUCUCCAGACUAUCCGAUAGGUUGGCAGGGGGAUGUCGUCGCCUAAAGAGGUUUGAGUGGGAUUUGGUAUAGUAAGCCAUGGGACCUACCGCUGCCACGCAAUAGCCGCGUCUUAUGGGCGCUGCUGCACGAGGAGUCACCCAAGAACGCGCCCAUCUUCU
rnacentral:misc_RNA from 1 species